GAUGAACGCUGGCGGCGUGGAUAAGGCAUGCAAGUCAAGGGGUCGCCUUCGGGCGACACCGGCGAACGGGUUAGUAACACGUAGGUAACGAACCCCAGAGGCGGGCAUAAUCCGUCGAAAGGCGGGCUAAUUCCCGAAGUCCCCCCACCAUAAAAAUGGUGAGGGGUAAAAGGAAGCUUUGCAACCACUCUGGGAUCGACCUGCGGCCUAUCAGCUUGUUGGUAGAGUAACGGUCUACCAAGGCUUUGACGGGUAGGGGGCGUGAGAGCGUGUUCCCCAACACUAGCACUGCGACACGGGCUAGACUCCUACGGGAGGCAGCAGUCGAGAAUAUUGGGCAAUGGGCGAAAGCCUGACCCAGCGACGCCGCGUGCUCGAAGAAGCCCUUCGGGGUGUAAAGAGCUUUUCUGGAGGAAGAACCCUUCGGGGUGACGGUACUCCAGGAAUAAAGGGAUGCAAAUCACGUGCCAGCAGCCGCGGUAAAACGUGAUCCCUAAGCGUUAUCCGGAUUUAUUGGGCGUAAAGCGUUCGUAGGCGGUUUGGUAAGUUUGGUGUUAAAGACCUCGAGCUCAACUUGAGGAAUGCAUCAGAAACUGCCAGACUAGAGGGCGUUAGAGGAGGAUGGAAUACUCGGUGUAGGGGUGAAAUCCGUUGAUAUCGAGUGGAACACCAAAAGCGAAGGCAUUCCUCUGGGGCGACCCUGACGCUGAGGGACGAAAGCGUGGGGAGCAAAAAGGAUUAGAUACCCUUGUAGUCCACGCCGUAAACGAUGGACACUAGCUAUUUGAAGUGUCGACCCUUCAAGUGGCGUAGCUAACGCGUUAAGUGUCCCGCCUGGGAAGACGACGGCAACGUU
rnacentral:rRNA from 1 species